CUACGGGCUGCUGCAGUGGGGAAUAUUGCACAAUGGGCGCGAGCCUGAUGCAGCCAUGCCGCGUGUAUGAAGAAGGCCUUCGGGUUGUAAAGUACUUUCAGCGGGGAGGAAGGGAGUAAAGUUAAUACCUUUGCUCAUUGACGUUACCCGCAGAAGAAGCACCGGCUAACUCCGUGCCAGCAGCCGCGGUAAUACUGAGGGUGCAAGCGUUAAUCGGAAUUACUGGGCGUAAAGCGCACGCAGGCGGUGUGUUAAGUCAGAUGUGAAAUCCCCGGGCUCAACCUGGGAACUGCAUCUGAUACUGGCAAGCUUGAGUCUCGUAGAGGGGGGUAGAAUUCCAGGUGUAGCGGUGAAAUGCGUAGAGAUCUGGAGGAAUACCGGUGGCGAAGGCGGCCCCCUGGACGAAGACUGACGCUCAGGUGCGAAAGCGUGGGGAGCAAACAGGAUUAGAUACCCCAGUAGUC
rnacentral:rRNA from 1 species